UACGUAGGGGGCAAGCGUUGUCCGGAAUCAUUGGGCGUAAAGCGAGCGUAGGCGGCCCGAUAAGUCUGCUGUAAAAGUCAACGGCUCAACCGUUGAAAGCCGGUGGAUACUGUCGGGCUAGAGUUCGGAAGAGGCAAGUGGAAUUCCUGGUGUAGCGGUGGAAUGCGCAGAUAUCAGGAGGAACACCUAUAGCGAAGGCAGCUUGCUGGGACGAUACUGACGCUAAGGCUCGAAAAGCGUGGGGAGCGAACAGGA
rnacentral:rRNA from 1 species